rnacentral:rRNA from 1 species
ACGGGACCGCACAAGCGGUGGAUGAUGUGGAUUAAUUCGAUGCAACGCGAAAACCUUACCUACCCUUGACAUGUCCGGAAUCCUGCAGAGAUGCGGGAGUGCCCGAAAGGGAAUCGGAACACAGGUGCUGCAUGGCUGUCGUCAGCUCGUGUCGUGAGAUGUUGGGUUAAGUCCCGCAACGAGCGCAACCCUUAUCAUUAGUUGCUACGCAAGGGCACUCUAAUGAGACUGCCGGUGACAAACCGGAGGAAGGUGGGGAUGACGUCAAGUCCUCAUGGCCCUUAUGGGUAGGGCUUCACACGUCAUACAAUGGUCGGUACAGAGGGUUGCCAACCCGCGAGGGGGAGCUAAUCCCACAAAGCCGAUCGUAGUCCGGAUCGCAGUCUGCAACUCGACUGCGUGAAGUCGGAAUCGCUAGUAAUCGUGGAUCAGCAUGUCACGGUGAAUACGUUCCCGGGUCUU